rnacentral:rRNA from 1 species
GACGUAGGGCGCGAGCGUUGUCCGGAUUUAUUGGGCGUAAAGAGCUCGUAGGCGGCUCAUUGCGUCAACCGUGAAAACCAGCAGCUCAACUGUUGGCUUGCGGUUGAUACGGGUGGGCUGGAGUUCGGUAGGGGAGAUCGGAAUUCCUGGUGUAGCGGUGAAAUGCGCAGAUAUCAGGAGGAACACCGGUGGCGAAGGCGGAUCUCUGGGCCAUUACUGACGCUGAGGAGCGAAAGCGUGGGGAGCGAACAGG